rnacentral:miRNA from 1 species
GACAACUAUGGAUGAGCUCUCA